rnacentral:rRNA from 1 species
UACAGAGGUGGCAAGCGUUGUUCGGAAUUACUGGGCGUAAAGCGUGCGCAGGCGGUUCGCCAAGUCAGGUGUGAAAUCCCCGGGCUUAACCUGGGAAUUGCGCUUGAAACUAGCGGGCUUGAGUGUGGCAGAGGGGGGUGGAAUUCCACGUGUAGCAGUGAAAUGCGUAGAGAUGUGGAGGAACACCGAUGGCGAAGGCAGCCCCCUGGGUCAACACUGACGCUCAUGCACGAAAGCGUGGGGAGCAAACAGG